UACGUAGGGUGCAGGCGUUGUCCGGAAUUAUUGGGCGUAAAGAGCUCGUAGGCGGUCUGUCGCGUCUGCUGUGAAAACUCGGGGCUUAACCCCGGGCCUGCAGUGGGUACGGGCAGACUAGAGUGCGGUAGGGGAGACUGGAAUUCCUGGUGUAGCGGUGAAAUGCGCAGAUAUCAGGAGGAACACCAAUUGCGAAGGCAGCUCGCUGGGACGUAACUGACGCUGAGACGCGAAAGCGUGGGGAGCAAACAGG
rnacentral:rRNA from 1 species